CAGCCGCCACGGGAAUACGUAGGGUGCAAGCGUUAAUCGGAAUUACUGGGCGUAAAGCGUGCGCAGGCGGUUAUAUAAGACAGAUGUGAAAUCCCCGGGCUCAACCUGGGAACUGCAUUUGUGACUGUAUAGCUAGAGUACGGCAGAGGGGGAUGGAAUUCCGCGUGUAUCAGUGAAAUGCGUAGAUAUGCGGAGGAACACCGAUGGCGAAGGCAAUCCCCUGGGCCUGUACUGACGCUCAUGCACGAAAGCGUGGGGAGCAAACAGGAUUAGAUACCCGAGUAGUCCCUGUCUCUUAUAC
rnacentral:rRNA from 1 species